UAGGGUCCGAGCGUUGUCCGGAAUUACUGGGCGUAAAGAGCUCGUAGGUGGUUUGUCGCGUUGUUCGUGAAAACUCACAGCUCAACUGUGGGCGUGCGGGCGAUACGGGCAGACUUGAGUACUGCAGGGGAGACUGGAAUUCCUGGUGUAGCGGUGGAAUGCGCAGAUAUCAGGAGGAACACCGGUGGCGAAGGCGGGUCUCUGGGCAGUAACUGACGCUGAGGAGCGAAAGCGUGGGGAGCGAACAGG
rnacentral:rRNA from 1 species